AUUGAACGCUCGCGGGAGGCCUUACACAUGCAAGUCGAACGCGUGGCGGACGGGUGAGUAAUAUCUGGGAACGUGCCAAGUAGCGGGGGAUAACUACUGGAAAGGGUAGCUAAUACCGCAUACUAUCGGAUGUGACCAUAUCGGAUUAGCUAGUUGGUGGGGUAAAGGCUAACCAAGGCAACGAUCCCUAGCUGGUUUGAGAGGACGACCAGCAACACUGGGACUGAGACACGGCCCAGACUCCUACGGGAGGCAGCAGUGGGGAAUUUUGGACAAUGGGGGAAACCCUGAUCCAGCCAUCCCGCGUGUAUGAGAAGGCCUUCGGGUUGUAAAGUACUUUUGGCGGAGAAGCGGUAUCUGCAGAAUAAGCACCGGCUAACUACGUGCCAGCAGCCGCGGUAAUAC
rnacentral:rRNA from 1 species